rnacentral:rRNA from 1 species
GGGCAGGGCGGCGUCUUACACAUGCAAGUCGAACGAUGAAGCCCUUCGGGGUGGAUUAGUGGCGAACGGGUGAGUAACACGUGGGCAAUCUGCCCUGCACUCUGGGACAAGCCCUGGAAACGGGGUCUAAUACCGGAUAUGACCGUCUUGGGCAUCCUUGACGGUGUAAAGCUCCGGCGGUGCAGGAUGAGCCCGCGGCCUAUCAGCUUGUUGGUGAGGUAAUGGCUCACCAAGGCGACGACGGGUAGCCGGCCUGAGAGGGCGACCGGCCACACUGGGACUGAGACACGGCCCAGACUCCUACGGGAGGCAGCAAA